rnacentral:rRNA from 1 species
UACGUAGGGCGCAAGCGUUGUCCGGAAUUAUUGGGCGUAAAGGGCGCGUAGGCGGCCAGCACAAGUCAGUUGUGAAAUCUCCGAGCUUAACUCGGAAAGGUCAACUGAUACUGUGCGGCUAGAGUGCGGAAGGGGCAACUGGAAUUCUUGGUGUAGCGGCGAAAUGCGUAGAUAUCAAGAGGAACACCUGCGGCGAAGGCGGGUUGCUGGGCCGACACUGACGCUGAGGCGCGAAAGCCAGGGGAGCGAACGGG